CCUACGGGAGGCAGCAGUGAGGGAUAUUGGUCAAUGGACGAGAGUCUGAACCAGCCAAGUAGCGUGAAGGAUGACUGCCCUAUGGGUUGUAAACUUCUUUUAUAGGGGAAUAAAAUGUGACACGUGUGGGGUUUUGUAUGUACCCUAUGUAUGAGGAUCGGCUAACUCCGUGCCAGCAGCCGCGGUAAUACGGAGGAUCCGCGCGUUAUCCGGAGUUAUUGGGUGUAAAGGGAGCGUAGGUGGAUUGUGAAGUCAGUGGUGAAAGGGUGCGGCUCAACCGUAGAAUUGCAGUGGAAACUGGCAGGCUUGAGUGCAGGAGAGGUGGGCGGAAUUCGUGGUGUAGCGGUGAAAUGCGUAGAUAUCACGAAGAACUCCGAUGGCGAAGGCAGUCCACUGGACUGCAACUGACACUGAGGCUCGAAAGUGUGGGUAUCAAACAGGAUUAGAUACCCGAGUAGUC
rnacentral:rRNA from 1 species